rnacentral:rRNA from 1 species
UAGGGAAUCUUCGGCAAUGGACGAAAGUCUGACCGAGCAACGCCGCGUGAGUGAAGAAGGUUUUCGGAUCGUAAAACUCUGUUGUUAGAGAAGAACAAGGACGUUAGUAACUGAACGUCCCCUGACGGUAUCUAACCAGAAAGCCACGGCUAACUACGUGCCAGCAGCCGCGGUAAUACGUAGGUGGCAAGCGUUGUCCGGAUUUAUUGGGCGUAAAGCGAGCGCAGGCGGUUUCUUAAGUCUGAUGUGAAAGCCCCCGGCUCAACCGGGGAGGGUCAUUGGAAACUGGGAAACUUGAGUGCAGAAGAGGAGAGUUGAAUUCCAUGUGUAGCGGUGAAAUGCGUAGAUAUAUGGAGGAACACCAGUGGCGAAGGCGGCUCUCUGGUCUGUAACUGACGCUGAGGCUCGAAAGCGUGGGGAGCAAACAGG